rnacentral:rRNA from 1 species
UACAGAGGGGGCAAGCGUUGUUCGGAAUUACUGGGCGUAAAGGGCGCGUAGGCGGCCUGCUAAGUCGAACGUGAAAUCCCCAGGCUUAACCUGGGAACUGCAUCCGAUACUGGAUGGCUUGAAUCCGGGAGAGGGAUGCGGAAUUCCAGGUGUAGCGGUGAAAUGCGUAGAUAUCUGGAGGAACACCGGUGGCGAAGGCGGCAUCCUGGACCGGCAUUGACGCUGAGGAGCGAAAGCCAGGGGAGCAAACGGG